rnacentral:rRNA from 1 species
UACGAAGGGGGCGAGCGUUGUUCGGAAUCACUGGGCGUAAAGAGUGCGUAGGCGGCGAUGUAAGUUAGAAGUGAAAGCCCAGGGCUCAACCUUGGAAUUGCUUUUAAAACUCCAUCGCUCGAAUUUGGGAGAGGAUAGCGGAAUUCUCAGUGUAGCAGUGAAAUGCGUAGAUAUUGAGAGGAACACCAGUGGCGUAAGCGGCUAUCUGGACCAACAUUGACGCUGAGGCACGAAAGCGUGGGGAUCAAACAGG